rnacentral:rRNA from 1 species
CAGCCGUAAACUAUGCGCGUUAGGUGUAUCGGUGACCACGAGUUACCGAGGUGCCGAAGGGAAACCGUGAAACGUGCCGCCUGGGAAGUACGGUCGCAAGGCUGAAACUUAAAGGAAUUGGCGGGGGAGCACAACAACAGGUGGAGCCUGCGGUUUAAUUGGACUCAACGCCGGGAAGCUCACCGGAUAGGACAGCAGAAUGAUUGCCGGGCUGAAGACCCUGCAUGACUAGCUGAGAGGAGGUGCAUGGCGUCAGUGACU